UACGUAGGGUGCGAGCGUUGUCCGGAAUUAUUGGGCGUAAAGAGCUCGUAGGCGGUGUGUCGCGUCGAUCGUGAAAACUUGGGGCUUAACCCUGAGCUUGCGGUCGAUACGGGCAUCACUGGAGUUCGGCAGGGGAGACUGGAAUUCCUGGUGUAGCGGUGAAAUGCGCAGAUAUCAGGAGGAACACCGGUGGCGAAGGCGGGUCUCUGGGCCGAUACUGACGCUGAGGAGCGAAAGCGUGGGGAGCGAACAGG
rnacentral:rRNA from 1 species